GGUCCACAGUGUAGUGGUAGUACUCUGGACUCUGAACUCAGUGGCCUGAGUUCAAAUCUUGGUGGGGCCU
rnacentral:tRNA from 1 species